UUACCCCCCCUUUACGGCGCCCCUGGACAGCAUUAUGUUAUUUAUAGUUUAAGUGUUGUGUUUAUCUCUGGAUAUAGGCUUAAUGUGUGUCAUUGUUCUCUACAGGUUGAUGGGUUGUGGAGUCACAGAUGAAGGUUGUGUUGCUCUGGCUUCAGCUCUGAGAUCAAACCCCUCACACCUGAGAGAACUGAAUCUGUCAUUUAAUAAUCUAGGAGACUCAGGAGUGAAGCAGCUGGAGGAUCUGAGGGAUGAUCCACAUUAUAAACUGAAGACACUGUGGUUAAAGAGGACAGUCUGAUGUUCUGCUGAUCAUCUGAUGGUGAAUAAGGAUCCACUACAGAGACUCACAGUCAACAGAAUCAACAGAGACUGAAGAUACAGUGACUUCACUGUUAGAAAUUAACACUUCAUUUAGAUUUCAACCAUCCUCUGACAGACCUGAUGAGGCGGCAGUGAAACACCUUUUAUUUCACAGCAAAUUACUCUUUCUCAUUCAUAGUAUAUAAAAAUGUUGGAGUUUUAGAGUAAAUAUUGAUCCUGAAUGUGUGUGUGUUGUACCAGCAGAGGGCAGGCCCGGUUCUAGAACCAAAUCACUGAG